rfam:Camelus ferus unplaced genomic scaffold scaffold7660, whole genome shotgun sequence.
GAGGGUAUAGCUCAAGUGGUAGAGUGCAUGCUUAGCAUGCACAAGGUCCUGGGUUUGAUCCCCAGCACCUCCU